CGUAAAAGACACAGUGUCAGCCCUCCGGAGUACCUUCCUGGAGAUAAAGCAGUCAGAGCAGCCCACAACACCAGGAGAGAAAGGAGAAGUGCGUGGAUCACCACGGCUGAGCUGUUCCAGGAGCUUUGGGGAAACUUACCAUCUUCUACUUCUCUCCUGUGCCACGUAAUACAGUGUAAAAGCUCACAAAUCAGAGCCCAUAGUCAAAGAAGAGAGUCCAAGCUUCCAGCAGGAGAGGUAUAAGGAAGAUGAAGAGGCUGGGCAGAGUAUAGGUGGAACAGCUUGGAAAUGACUGCGGCAGUUGCCAUGGACAAGUUGACAAUCUGCAUUUGGAGGCUGUUUCCACCCUGGGAUUCUCCACGCUGAUGAAAUCACAAGUCUCCCCUCCCCCUGGCUCCCACUGAAAAUUAUUUCCUAGGUGACCUCAGGAAACCUGGGAGACAUCACCUACCGUGGGCACCAUUAUUCCUACCAUUCCCACCAUCGUCCCUCUUCCAGCCGUUCUGCGUGCUGCCCCCAACUCAGCAGUAUGGGUAUGUCCACCACAAAGAGAAGGGAGAGAGGAGGAGAUGCUGGAGAUGUCUGUUCUUGCUUCGCUUUGAGCCACAUCUAGACAGACCCAUGUGGACAUGUGUAACCUACGUGGGCAAAAUAACAAAGCAAUAGCGUGCGCACGGGUGCGCGCACACGCACGCGCGCACACACACACACACACACACACACACACACACACAUCCUUGUACCAAAAAUAAGAAAAUAGGAUCAUUGAAGCAUUUUUAAAAAGGCACAAAGGGAACCAGAAGAAAGUUCUGAAGGAAACACAAGUUUCAAUGAAGCAAGAUAGCUUGAAAUUGAAAGCAAUAUGUGAAUUUUUGUGCCUAUUUUUAAAAGCUCAAGCUGUACAAAACAGAGAUUCAAAGUUUCAUAUAUACACUCUCUUUUCUGUUCUACUUUGUAAAUGGAAAUGUUGUUUUUGUGUGUGUUUGUUAAAAUGAAAAUGAAAAAAAAGUUUUAAAAGAAAUCCAUCAAAAUAGCUUCUUCUAUUUGAGAGUAUAAUUCUGAAUAGUAACCCUGCAGGAACAUGACUCCUGAUUUUCUGAGAGAAGAAUGGGGAUGGAUUUACUUUCCUUGGUCCAGUUGGACCUGCCUUGGCCCAAGGCCACCUGGAAUUCCCAGUUCU